rnacentral:rRNA from 1 species
UAAGUAUACCGGAAGGUGUGCUUGGAAACAAAAUGUAGUUUAAACAAAACCCCUUGCUUACACCAAGUAAAUAUCUGUUAAGACAGGUCAUUUUGAGCCAAACCCUUAGCCGUAACACCCCCACCUGUGACACCCCCACCACAAGGCCCCCCCCAAAACAUUCUCCACCUCCUAGUAUAGGCGAUAGAAACCCCCCUCAGAGCUAUAAACAGUACCGCAAGGGAACAGUGAAAUAGAAAUGAAAUAAAACUAAAGCACAACAUAGUAGAGACUCCCCCUCGUACCUUUUGCAUCAUGAUCUAGCCAGUCCCAUCAAGCAAAAAGAAUUAUAGUUUGACCCCCCGAAACUAAGUGAGCUACUCCGAGGCAACUUUUAGAGUCAACCCAUCUCUGUAGCAAAAGAGUGGGAAGACCUCCGAGUAGGGGUGACAGACCUACCAAACUUAGUGAUAGCUGGUUACUCAAAAAACGGGUGUUAGCCCAACCUUAAAUUAACCCAACAAACCCUAGUACCUCCCCCACCAUUUAAGAGCCAUUCAAAUAAGGUACAGCUUAUUUGAAAUAGAAUACAACCUCCCCUCCCGGGUAAUGAAUUUUUUACCCCCCCCCGCGUAAGUAGGCCUAAAAGCAGCCACCUUUUAAACAGCGUCAAAGCUUCCACGCAAUACCAACUAAAUACUUUUUCUCCCUCAAAGCCCACAAAUACUAUUGGGUGACCCUAUGCCCCUAUAGGAGACCCCCUGCUAGAAUAAGUAACAUGGGGAACCCCCCCCCUCCACAGCACAAGUGUACAUCAAAACAGACAAUCCAYUGAUAAUUAACGCCCCUGAAGAAUAACAGCAACUCAACGAGAAAACCCUGCCCCCCCCCCCCCGUUAACCUAACACAAGAGUGCCCCCGGAAAGAUUAAAAGAGACGGAAGGAACUCGGCAAACAACAACCCCGCCUGUUUACCAAAAACAUCGCCUCUUGACUUAAUAAGAGGUCUAGCCUGCCCAGUGACCCAGUUCAACGGCCGCGGUAUCCUGACCGUGCGAAGGUAGCGUAAUCACUUGUUCUCUAAAUAAGGACUAGUAUGAACGGCAUCACGAGGGUUGUGCUGUCUCCCGCCCCCAAUCAGUGAAAUUAAUCUCCCCGUGAAGAAGCGGGGAUAAGACUAUAAGACGAGAAGACCCCGUGGAGCUUAAAACAAAAGGCACCUGCUAACCCUUUAGUUAAGCACCCUGACCCUUAGUUUUUGGUUGGGGCGACCGCGGAGAAAACCCACCCUCCACGCUGAACGAUUUUAUCUUAGCCAAAAGCAACUGCUCUAAGCAUCAGCACCCUGACACCCCUUGACCCAAUUUUAUUGAUCAACGAACCAAGUUACCCCGGGGAUAACAGCGCUAUCUACUUCAAGAGCCCCUAUCGACAAGUAGGCUUACGACCUCGAUGUUGGAUCAGGGUACCCAAGUGGUGCAGCCGCUACUAACGGUUCGUUUGUUCAACGAUUAAAACCCU